rnacentral:rRNA from 1 species
AAGCGUACACGGUGGAUGCCCUGGCAGUCAGAGGCGAUGAAGGACGUGCUAAUCUGCGAUAAGCGUCGGUAAGGUGAUAUGAACCGUUAUAACCGGCGAUUUCCGAAUGGGGAAACCCAGUGUGAUUCGUCACACUAUCAUUAACUGAAUCCAUAGGUUAAUGAGGCGAACCGGGGGAACUGAAACAUCUAAGUACCCCGAGGAAAAGAAAUCAACCGAGAUUCCCCCAGUAGCGGCGAGCGAACGGGGAGGAGCCCAGAGCCUGAAUCAGUGUGUGUGUUGUGUGACUGCGUACCUUUUGUAUAAUGGGUCAGCGACUUAUAUUCUGUAGCAAGGUUAACCGAAUAGGGGAGCCGAAGGGAAACCGAGUCUUAACUGGGCGUUAAGUUGCAGGGUAUAGACCCGAAACCCGGUGAUCUAGCCAUGGGCAGGUUGAAGGUUGGGUAACACUAACUGGAGGACCGAACCGACUAAUGUUGAAAAAUUAGCGGAUGACUUGUGGCUGGGGGUGAAAGGCCAAUCAAACCGGGAGAUAGCUGGUUCUCCCCGAAAGCUAUUUAGGUAGCGCCUCGUGAAUUCAUCUCCGGGGGUAGAGCACUGUUUCGGCAAGGGGGUCAUCCCGACUUACCAACCCGAUGCAAACUGCGAAUACCGGAGAAUGUUAUCACGGGAGACACACGGCGGGUGCUAACGUCCGUCGUGAAGAGGGAAACAACCCAGACCGCCAGCUAAGGUCCCAAAGUCAUGGUUAAGUGGGAAACGAUGUGGGAAGGCCCAGACAGCCAGGAUGUUGGCUUAGAAGCAGCCAUCAUUUAAAGAAAGCGUAAUAGCUCACUGGUCGAGUCGGCCUGCGCGGAAGAUGUAACGGGGCUAAACCAUGCACCGAAGCUGCGGCAGCGACGCUUAUGCGUUGUUGGGUAGGGGAGCGUUCUGUAAGCCUGUGAAGGUGUACUGUGAGGUAUGCUGGAGGUAUCAGAAGUGCGAAUGCUGACAUAAGUAACGAUAAAGCGGGUGAAAAGCCCGCUCGCCGGAAGACCAAGGGUUCCUGUCCAACGUUAAUCGGGGCAGGGUGAGUCGACCCCUAAGGCGAGGCCGAAAGGCGUAGUCGAUGGGAAACAGGUUAAUAUUCCUGUACUUGGUGUUACUGCGAAGGGGGGACGGAGAAGGCUAUGUUGGCCGGGCGACGGUUGUCCCGGUUUAAGCGUGUAGGCUGGUUUUCCAGGCAAAUCCGGAAAAUCAAGGCUGAGGCGUGAUGACGAGGCACUACGGUGCUGAAGCAACAAAUGCCCUGCUUCCAGGAAAAGCCUCUAAGCAUCAGGUAACAUCAAAUCGUACCCCAAACCGACACAGGUGGUCAGGUAGAGAAUACCAAGGCGCUUGAGAGAACUCGGGUGAAGGAACUAGGCAAAAUGGUGCCGUAACUUCGGGAGAAGGCACGCUGAUAUGUAGGUGAAGUCCCUCGCGGAUGGAGCUGAAAUCAGUCGAAGAUACCAGCUGGCUGCAACUGUUUAUUAAAAACACAGCACUGUGCAAACACGAAAGUGGACGUAUACGGUGUGACGCCUGCCCGGUGCCGGAAGGUUAAUUGAUGGGGUUAGCGCAAGCGAAGCUCUUGAUCGAAGCCCCGGUAAACGGCGGCCGUAACUAUAACGGUCCUAAGGUAGCGAAAUUCCUUGUCGGGUAAGUUCCGACCUGCACGAAUGGCGUAAUGAUGGCCAGGCUGUCUCCACCCGAGACUCAGUGAAAUUGAACUCGCUGUGAAGAUGCAGUGUACCCGCGGCAAGACGGAAAGACCCCGUGAACCUUUACUAUAGCUUGACACUGAACAUUGAGCCUUGAUGUGUAGGAUAGGUGGGAGGCUUUGAAGUGUGGACGCCAGUCUGCAUGGAGCCGACCUUGAAAUACCACCCUUUAAUGUUUGAUGUUCUAACGUUGACCCGUAAUCCGGGUUGCGGACAGUGUCUGGUGGGUAGUUUGACUGGGGCGGUCUCCUCCUAAAGAGUAACGGAGGAGCACGAAGGUUGGCUAAUCCUGGUCGGACAUCAGGAGGUUAGUGCAAUGGCAUAAGCCAGCUUGACUGCGAGCGUGACGGCGCGAGCAGGUGCGAAAGCAGGUCAUAGUGAUCCGGUGGUUCUGAAUGGAAGGGCCAUCGCUCAACGGAUAAAAGGUACUCCGGGGAUAACAGGCUGAUACCGCCCAAGAGUUCAUAUCGACGGCGGUGUUUGGCACCUCGAUGUCGGCUCAUCACAUCCUGGGGCUGAAGUAGGUCCCAAGGGUAUGGCUGUUCGCCAUUUAAAGUGGUACGCGAGCUGGGUUUAGAACGUCGUGAGACAGUUCGGUCCCUAUCUGCCGUGGGCGCUGGAGAACUGAGGGGGGCUGCUCCUAGUACGAGAGGACCGGAGUGGACGCAUCACUGGUGUUCGGGUUGUCAUGCCAAUGGCACUGCCCGGUAGCUAAAUGCGGAAGAGAUAAGUGCUGAAAGCAUCUAAGCACGAAACUUGCCCCGAGAUGAGUUCUCCCUGACUCCUUGAGAGUCCUGAAGGAACGUUGAAGACGACGACGUUGAUAGGCCGGGUGUGUAAGCGCAGCGAUGCGUUGAGCUAACCGGUACUAAUGAACCGUGAGGCUUAACCUUACAACGCCGAAGGUGUUU